rnacentral:lncRNA from 1 species
UUUCACUCUAAACAUGUGCAAGGAAAAGUCAAUCAUAACGACUUAAAUCUGGAUAAGCAAUGUAUUGUAUUGUAUAUUUUUAAUGUGUAUAGUGUUACAUUUAUGUGUACAGUGUUACAUUUUGCAUGUUGAAUACACCACAUUCAUUUUUGGUUUUCUAAAAGUGUUCUGUUACUGGCUUGCGUCACGUGAUUAUUCAUCGCCUUCCUCUACAUUAUUAGGUUCAUCGAUUAUCUCUUCAUGGAUGGCAAAGGUCCAGUAUCUUCAACAAACCUUCGGCAUUCUGAGACAUCAAAUGAC